rnacentral:lncRNA from 1 species
AUAUUGAGAGAACUGCGAGCAGAAGCGCCUCUGGUCAGCUCUCUAGUCCAACUGGCUACCAGCAUUUCACAUUCGAGAAUGAUCGCCCUUCUAUCCGCAAGGAAGAAGGGUCAAGUUUUUCUCUUGUAGCUGAGAUGGAUGAUAUUGAGAGAACUGCGAGCAGAAGCGCCUCUGGUCAGCUCUCUAGUCCAGCUGGCUAUCAGCAGAAUGAUCGCCCUUCUAUCCGCAAGGAAGAAGGGUCAAGCUCAGACUCUAGAGCGAUAGAAUAGCUGUGACAUUAAUGGUUUGAUUGGCAUGCCCGACUUCAUUUAUUUGUUGAUUUAGAAUGCAUAUCCUGGAUUUGGAACCACUCCUCUCAUUGUAAAGAUAAAUAGAUCACAAGGAAAAGUUAAUUCUUUUAGUUUAAAUGAAGAUGUGUGUCAUUGGAUUAACAAUUAAAGAUGCAUAAUCUGACCUUCAGCAUCACGUAAAGCUUCAUGCCUUGCAAGUGCUAGAGGUAAUAGUGUUACUGUAUAGCAUAAUCAAGUUGCCAUUUUCAAUUUUUCGUCCGAUUGAAGAAUUUAUCGUUUUUUGUUUGCUCAUUUACUUUAUCGCUGAGUAGACAGACUGAAUAGAGAUUAUAGCGAGUAGCCAGUAUCUAAACAUUGGUCUUUUGAGUCAACCCCUCCUUGGGGAGGCUAUCGAAGGGUUGGUGUGCUUCCUUGCCAGUUUCCAAACCUUCAAGGCAUGGCAGAAGCUCGCAGUGCGUUUGGACUGUUAUGGAGAGAAGGCUUAGUUUGUUUACCGAAAAUAGCACGGUGUUAGUGAUGUUUGCAAUGUAAAUCAUAUCUAGAGAUGAGAAGGCUGAGCUGUAGGUCGCAUAAUAUGCACUCGGAAAGUUUAUGGUGGCGUCUGGACACAUUUGUGCGCUAGAUUUCACAGAAAAUGGAGGUAUGGAUUGAUCGAUUCAUUGGAUCAUAGGUCGGGACUGACAAUGCUUUGUAUGAUCAAAGAACAUAUACGAUUUCUGAUCUCUGUUUCAUGAUUGUGUUUCUUGACUCUGAACUAGGAAGAAAAUCCACAGAAUGUAUACGAGGAACUGAUCCAGGCUUCAAGUGCCAGUUUGUACGACGAACUCUCUCUGGGUUUGCUUGCAAUGCUGUUUGCAUAUUGCGAUAAGGCAGAGCAAAUCCUUACAGGGCAUGUUGCUAGACAAGAACAGAGAUUCUUUCAUCCACUACGAGAAGCCUCAAAGCUUAAAAACAAGCCGAAGCUGGCAACCCAGUUUCUCGGACAAUCAUUCCCUGUAGCCUUUGCUAAACAUUCCAGGUAGGCAAGGAAGAGAACUGCGAUUGAAGCUGCUCGGUGACUGUUUGGUCCCGCAGCCACACUACCUAGUAUUUGGUUAAAGAAAAAGCAGAUGUUUUGCUGGCAGGGCCCAUUGAUAUUUGAGGCUGCACUGCAGGUUUUGAGAAGCAGCAAAAUACUGCUUCUCAUGCAGCUAACCCAACGUUAACAAUGGAGUCAUGCUCCACUACGCACUGUUUACUAAGUGAACAGUUUUUUUUUUGAAAAACUAGUGCGCAAAGUUUUUUUUUUUCCUGAAAAACUAGUACAGUUAAUUAAUUGCACUCGUAUUGUUCACGUGAAAUAUAUAUAUAUAUAUAUAUAUAUAUAUAAAAAAUUAGUUUAACGUAAAUUAAAUUUAUUCGUACUGUAAUCUCAAUUUUAUUCAUGAUAAUAUUUUACUUAAUUUUAUUGCACGCAUGAUAAAUCAUGAUAACUGUAGUUAUUGUCGAAUGAAUUUUGUACAUAAUGAAAUUGUUGAUUUUUUUUUUAAAUUGUGUUUUACUCGAAAAACUAGUACUUAAUAUUAUUUAAUAACACUACAUAAAUUAGAAGGAUAUCGCAUAAUGACAUAAUAUUUGUGAAAUUUGAUCCCUAUUCCAAUUAUGUUAUUGCAUUAAAAAUCAUUAGUAUUAAUAUAUAUAUAUAUUUUAAUUAUUUUAUAACCUCAAUUUGAAAAAUAUUUUUUUAACCAAACACAUUAAACAACUUUUUCUUCGACCUCAAUUUCAACCACAGUUUUAACCAAACACCUAUUUUUUCAAACCAAUCUCAACUAAAAGUACUUUUUAUAAAACAACUUUUUUCAAAUCACUAACAUAAAAGCUACCGCAAUACCAAACACAAAUCACCAGCAAAAAAAAGAUAUUAUUUUCAAAUUAUUUUUAAAUCUGAAUGCUUAUAUCAACACUGAUUAAGAAUUUAAAUUUGAUAUGCUUUAAGAAAAUAAAAGGUAUCAUAUAUCUUAGAAAUUUAUAAUACUUUCUUAGUUUAAUUCUAGGAUAUAAAUUCUCUAAAUUCAAUUUCCAUUAACAAGAAAUUCUAACAUUGAUAACAAGUUCAUAAAAUGCUAUAUAAAUCAUAUAAUUAAAUGACCGGUUUUCUUUUUUGAAAAUCUAAAAAAUAAGAAAUUAUUUAUUUAAAAAAGAUUUGGAAGAACCGACUACUGACUUUCAAAGUUGAUAGCAGAGGCUGUUUUUAUUUUUUAAUUUUUUUUUUAAAAUCAGAGAUAUUUUAAAAAAUAGAAAGACACCAUGUGGCCGUUAAUUAUGAUCUUAACCUCUCCUUCCUGGAAUCUGCCAGGCAAGCGUCUAUCAUCUGUCUCCUACUUUCAACUGUCAUACUGGCUGCUGUGAAAGGUAUAAGAAGAUUAUAAUUUAGAUAAAGCUAAACUUUUGAUUAAUCAAGUCCAGAUAAUUCAUCAAUUUCUCCACCAACCCCUCCUCUCUUCUCCAUGGUAGAACUCCAUCCCUAGCAGCGUUGCCACCUCCCUUCCCAAAUGUUCAAUCUCCUUCUCCUCACCAUCACAACAUUCCUCAUCACUCUAUCCCUCGUUCAAUCUCAAGCUCAAAACAACACAGCACGAUGCCCAUUAGACUUCAACGUCCUCCGCAACCUGACAUCUGCCGGCUCUGGACGCCCCCCCAAUUCAGACAUCAACCAGCAGUGUCGGUACAUCCGUCAAGGACUUCGACUUGUUCAAUCCCAUUACCUCCAAGUUAACAACUCCUUCCUCCCUCCACUCGACUCUGCUGAAACAUGCUGGCGCACUUACCAGGACCUCAUCGAUGAAUUCCUUCCCAAUUUCGAUAUCCGCUCUUCUUGCGGCUUCAACACUAGCUGGAUCUCCCAGGGCUGUAUGGACAUCUCUACCAGGUCCCAGUUCGAGGCCAUCGUCCCUGUCUCUGCUCUUAAUGAUGCUGCUUCCAACUGUAACCAGUCCCUUGAGAAUAAUUCUCCGUGCGCUGCUUGUACUACCAGCUUGUCCACGCUGCAAGCCAGGUACUUGACGGGACCUUCCAUCGGGAAUGUUUCGGAUUGCCAGGCAUAUCCCUCCAUUUAUGCCGCGGCUUUUACUAAUAGGUAUGGACCUACUGAUAAGGGCACAGCCAAGUGUUUGUUUUUCAUCGAUUUUACUUCCAAGAAAUCUAGCAAGAAAAGGAGCAAAGUCUUGAUCUUGGGUGUUUUAUUAGGGGGUGGUGUUGGGUUGGUUGUAUUGAUUGGUUUGUGGUGGAUCUUUCACAAGAGGAGAAAGAGGGCUGACAAAUUUGGGAGAGUACUUGAGACAGAGUUGGGUUCUGGGUUGGAGUCCAUUAGUCAAAGUACUUCUUUGGUUAAAUAUACAUUUGAUGAGAUUAGGAAGGCAACUAGAAACUUUUCUAGAGAUAACAUUAUCGGGAGAGGAGGUUUUGGGAAUGUGUAUAAAGGUGAAUUGCCAGAUGGUUCUCUAGUUGCUUUUAAAAGAUUCAAGAAUUGCUCGGCUGCAGGCGAUUCUUCUUUUGCUCAUGAAGUUGAGGUUAUUGCGAGUGUCAGGCAUGUCAAUCUUGUUGCUUUGAGAGGAUAUUGUACUGCUACGAGUCCUUUUGAGGGUCACCAGAGGAUAAUCGUGUGUGAUUUGAUAAAGAAUGGCACUUUGCAUGACCAUUUAUUUGGGUCGGGUGCGGGAAAGCUUAGCUGGCCUAUCCGGCAAAAGAUUGCUUUAGGGACUGCUAGAGGAUUGGCUUAUUUGCACUAUGGAGCUCAACCGUCAAUUAUUCAUAGGGAUAUUAAAGCUAGCAAUAUACUUCUGGAUGAGAGUUUUGAGCCCAAGGUUGCGGACUUUGGACUAGCAAAGUUUACUCCAGAAGGAAUGACACAUCUGAGCACCAGGGUAGCUGGGACUAUGGGAUAUGUUGCUCCUGAGUAUGCUUUGUACGGGCAACUAACAGAGAGAAGCGACGUGUAUAGCUUUGGUGUUGUGCUUCUCGAGCUUUUGAGUGGGAAGAAGGCAUUUAUGGUGGAUCAUGAGGGACAGCCAUCUAUUGUGACUGAUUGGGCAUGGUCAUUUGUGAGAGAAGGGAGAGCUUUAGAUGUUAUCGAAGAUGGCAUGCCGGAGUCAGGGUCACAAGAAAUUUUGGAAAAGUAUGUUCUGGUGGCAGUUCUUUGUUCUCAUCCACAGCUAUAUGCUAGGCCAACAAUGGAUCAAGUCGUGAAAAUGUUGGAAACAGAUAUCUCAAUUCCCUCCAUUCCAGAAAGGCCAAUUUCUCUUGUAGCUGAGAUGGAUGAUAUUGAGAGAACUGCGAGCAGAAGCGCCUCUGGUCAGCUCUCUAGUCCAACUGGCUACCAGCAUUUCACAUUUGAGAAUGAUAGCCCUUCUAUCCGCAAUGAAGAAGGGUCAAGUUUUUCUCUUGUUGCUGAGACGGAUGAUAUUGAGAGAACUGCGAGCAGAAGCGCCUCUGGUCAGCUCUCUAGUCCAGCUGGCUAUCAGCAUUUCACAUUCGAGAAUGAUCGCCCUUCUAUCCGCAAGGAAGAAGGGUCAAGUUCAGACUUCAGACUCUAGAGCAAUAGAAUAGCUGUGACAUUAAUGGUUUGAUUUGCACUGAUUGGUAUGCCCAACCAUUUGUUUGUCGAUUUAGAUUGCAUAUCCUGGAUUUGGAACGACUCCUCUCACAGUAAAGAUAAAUAGAUGAAAAGGAAUGGUUAAUUCUUUUAGUUUAAGUGAUAUAGGAUGCCUAUCUGAUGUUUUGUUUGCAUAUGAUAAUUAUGUAUCUAAAUGAAGAUGUGUAUCAUUGGAUUAAUGAUUAAAGAUGCAUAAUCUGACCUUCAGCAUCACGUAAAGCUUCAUGCCUUGCAAGUGCUAGAGGUAAUAGUGUUACUGUAUAGCAUAAUCAAGUUGCCAUUUUCAAAUUUUCUUCCGAUUGAAGAAUUUAUCCUUUUUUGUUUGCUCAUUUACUUUAUCGCUGAGUAGACAGUCUGAAUAGAGAUUAUAGCGAGCAGCCAGUAUCUAAACAUUGGUCUUUUGAGUCAACCCCUCCUUGGGGAGGCUAUCGAAGGGUUGGUGCGCUUCCUUGCGAGUUUCCAAACCUUCAAGG